rnacentral:rRNA from 1 species
AUGAACGCUGGCGGCGUGCCUAAUACAUGCAAGUCGAACGAACUUCCGUUAAUUGAUUAUGACGUACUUGUACUGAUUGAGAUUUUAACACGAAGUGAGUGGCGAACGGGUGAGUAACACGUGGGUAACCUGCCCAGAAGUAGGGGAUAACACCUGGAAACAGAUGCUAAUACCGUAUAACAGAGAAAACCGCAUGGUUUUCUUUUAAAAGAUGGCUCUGCUAUCACUUCUGGAUGGACCCGCGGCGUAUUAGCUAGUUGGUGAGGUAAAGGCUCACCAAGGCAGUGAUACGUAGCCGACCUGAGAGGGUAAUCGGCCACAUUGGGACUGAGACACGGCCCAGACUCCUACGGGAGGCAGCAGUAGGGAAUCUUCCACAAUGGACGCAAGUCUGAUGGAGCAACGCCGCGUGAGUGAAGAAGGGUUUCGGCUCGUAAAGCUCUGUUGUUAAAGAAGAACGUGGGUAAGAGUAACUGUUUACCCAGUGACGGUAUUUAACCAGAAAGCCACGGCUAACUACGUGCCAGCAGCCGCGGUAAUACGUAGGUGGCAAGCGUUAUCCGGAUUUAUUGGGCGUAAAGCGAGCGCAGGCGGUCUUUUAAGUCUAAUGUGAAAGCCUUCGGCUCAACCGAAGAAGUGCAUUGGAAACUGGGAGACUUGAGUGCAGAAGAGGACAGUGGAACUCCAUGUGUAGCGGUGAAAUGCGUAGAUAUAUGGAAGAACACCAGUGGCGAAGGCGGCUGUCUGGUCUGCAACUGACGCUGA